GGGAGGAGGUCGGAUCCUGGGCUGUGUCCCCGGCGCCCUGUGCUCCCGGGCCUGCGCUUUUGGAUUCGCGCUCCCGGCCGGCCAGCCCCUU
rnacentral:pre_miRNA from 1 species